UUGAACGCUGGCGGCAUGCUUUACACAUGCAAGUCGAACGGCAGCACGGGGGCAACCCUGGUGGCGAGUGGCGAACGGGUGAGUAAUAUAUCGGAACAUAUCCGGGAGUGGGGGAUAACGUAGCGAAAGUUACGCUAAUACCGCAUAUGCCCUGAGGGGGAAAGUGGGGGAUCGCAAGACCUCACGCUUUCGGAGUGGCCGAUAUCGGAUUAGCUAGUUGGUGGGGUAAAGGCCUACCAAGGCGACGAUCGAUAGCUGGUCUGAGAGGACGACCAGCCACACUGGAACUGAGACACGGUCCAGACUCCUACGGGAGGCAGCAGGGGGGAAUUUUGGACAAUGGGGGCAACCCUGAUCCAGCCAUUCCGCGUGAGUGAAGAAGGCCUUCGGGUUGUAAAGCUCUUUCGGCAGGAACGAAACGGUGCGGGCCAAUACCCCGCAUCAAUGACGGUACCUGAAGAAGAAGCACCGGCUAACUACGU
rnacentral:rRNA from 1 species